CCUACGGGGGGCAGCAGUGGGGAAUAUUGGACAAUGGGGGCAACCCUGAUCCAGCCAUGCCGCGUGUGUGAAGAAGGCCCUCGGGUUGUAAAGCACUUUCAGUGAGGAAGAACGCCUGGUGGUUAAUACCCAUCAGGAAAGACAUCACUCACAGAAGAAGCACCGGCUAACUCCGUGCCAGCAGCCGCGGUAAUACGGAGGGUGCAAGCGUUAAUCGGAAUUACUGGGCGUAAAGCGCGCGUAGGUGGCUUGAUAAGCCGGUUGUGAAAGCCCCGGGCUCAACCUGGGAACGGCAUCCGGAACUGUCAAGCUAGAGUGCAGGAGAGGAAGGUAGAAUUCCCGGUGUAGCGGUGAAAUGCGUAGAGAUCGGGAGGAAUACCAGUGGCGAAGGCGGCCUUCUGGACUGACACUGACACUGAGGUGCGAAAGCGUGGGUAGCAAACAGGAUUAGAUACCCUAGUAGUC
rnacentral:rRNA from 1 species